rnacentral:rRNA from 1 species
GACGAACGCUGGCGGCGCGCCUAACACAUGCAAGUCGAACGGAGCUAAGAGAAGCUUGCUUUUCUUAGCUUAGUGGCGAACGGGUGAGUAACGCGUGAGUAACCUGCCCUGGAGUGGGGGACAACAGUUGGAAACGACUGCUAAUACCGCAUAAGCCCACGAUCCGGCAUCGGAUUGAGGGAAAAGGAUUUAUUCGCUUCAGGAUGGACUCGCGUCCAAUUAGCUAGUUGGUGAGGUAACGGCCCACCAAGGCGACGAUUGGUAGCCGGACUGAGAGGUUGAACGGCCACAUUGGGACUGAGACACGGCCCAGACUCCUACGGGAAGCAGCAGUGGGGGAUAUUGCACAAUGGGGGAAACCCUGAUGCAGCGACGCCGCGUGGAGGAAGAAGGUUUUCGGAUUGUAAACUCCUGUCGUUAGGGACGAUAAUGACGGUACCUAACAAGAAAGCACCGGCUAACUACGUG